CUGCAGUCGAACGGCAGCACGGAGCUUGCUCUGGUGGCGAGUGGCGAACGGGUGAGUAAUAUAUCGGAACGUACCCUGGAGUGGGGGAUAACGUAGCGAAAGUUACGCUAAUACCGCAUACGAUCUAAGGAUGAAAGUGGGGGAUCGCAAGACCUCAUGCUCGUGGAGCGGCCGAUAUCUGAUUAGCUAGUUGGUAGGGUAAAAGCCUACCAAGGCAUCGAUCAGUAGCUGGUCUGAGAGGACGACCAGCCACACUGGAACUGAGACACGGUCCAGACUCCUACGGGAGGCAGCAGUGGGGAAUUUUGGACAAUGGGCGAAAGCCUGAUCCAGCAAUGCCGCGUGAGUGAAGAAGGCCUUCGGGUUGUAAAGCUCUUUUGUCAGGGAAGAAACGGUGAGAGCUAAUAUCUCUUGCUAAUGACGGUACCUGAAGAAUAAGCACCGGCUAACUACGUGCCAGCAGCCGCGGUAAUACGUAGGGUGCAAGCGUUAAUCGGAAUUACUGGGCGUAAAGCGUGCGCAGGCGGUUUUGUAAGUCUGAUGUGAAAUCCCCGGGCUCAACCUGGGAAUUGCAUUGGAGACUGCAAGGCUAGAAUCUGGCAGAGGGGGGUAGAAUUCCACGUGUAGCAGUGAAAUGCGUAGAUAUGUGGAGGAACACCGAUGGCGAAGGCAGCCCCCUGGGUCAAGAUUGACGCUCAUGCACGAA
rnacentral:rRNA from 1 species